rnacentral:lncRNA from 1 species
ACCAUAUCAACAAUCUGCAUAAAAACAAACAAGCACACUUUUCAGAAGAGCUUUUCCUGCACUAAACACCAGCUGAUUUGUGGAGCAUGAUUGGUAGUUGAGCUACUUAAUCGGAUUCCUCAGAACAGGGUCAGUAAAAAUAGAUGCAAAUCCAUAGGGUGACAUAGUCACAUACGAUUGUGGAAAUUGUAACGACUGGCUCUAGGAUACUCACAAAUGUUCAUAUGCAAAGUCCUGAGAAGAGUCACGGUGAAGAAACCCACUUAAGCAAUUCCAAAGUUAAACGACAAAGAAGACUGCACUAAUGUCCUAAGGUGUCGGGUCCUGCGGAACUUGUUUGUUAGCAAAACCAUCCCAGAUGGAAGACUUGGGUGGCAAUUCCAAAGGGCCUUUUCGUGCGUUCCUGAUUGACCUUAAUUGACAGUGACUUUGACAUUGUAAGUUUUCUGGCCAUCCAAGUAGUGAAUGAACUUGCAGCAAACCCUGGAAAACCUUAUGCAAUCCUGUGUAAAGAAUCUCAUGACAAAGUAAAGAAUCCUUUGGGAACAGGCAUGUCCACCUCUUAAAUUACAUACUUGCUGUAAAACAAACUGGCAGAGCUACUGUCUGGUGACCACAAAAGUAAUUUGCCUACAACUCAGAAUGAAGAUUUGUCCCGGAAUGAGUUCUUUUUACCAAUAGAGAAUAUUCGCAUUCGGAGAAUCUGGGCCAGAACUUUCUCAUCUUUUGAAAGGUGUGCUUCCCGAAGCCUGUGGGUUGGCCCUGGUGACUCUGUGCAGAAGAGGAGGGUGAGUUCUUCACUGCAGUUGAAGAUGCGCCCAUCAGGGCCAUGACCCAUUCAUUAUCGCACAUGGCCCUCAGUCCAGGACCAAGGCAGAAGGAGGCACAGAUUGCUCCCCUCUUCUCUGGGCCUCUUGACAACCUGAGCUCUACACUGCUGGGAUGUCAGACUCCAGGUUCUUCAGCUUUGGGACUUGGACUGGCUUCCUUGCUCCUCAGCUUGCAGAGGGCCUAUAGUGGGACCUCACCUUGUGAUCGUGAGGUCCUGGCGGUGCAAUGCUGCCUGGAAUCAGGACAGAUGACUCAUGCUCCAAGAAUUCUUCACUUUGCUUAG